rnacentral:tRNA from 1 species
UCAACAUGCCGGAAUGGUAUUUUGUUCGGCCUUCUAAGCCGAGGGUCGGGGGUUCGAGCCCCUCCUGUCGCGCCA